rnacentral:rRNA from 1 species
UAGAGUUUGAUCAUGGCUCAGAGCGAACGCUGGCGGUAUGCUUAACACAUGCAAGUCGAGCGAGAAAGUGGCUUCGGCCACGAGUACAGCGGCGGACGGGUGCGUAACACGUGGAUAAUCUGCCUUCAGGUCUGGGAUAACCCUGGGAAACUAGAGCUAAUACCGGAUAAGACCACAGGUUCCAUGGAACCAAGGGUAAAAGGCGGCCUUCGGGCUGUCUCCUGAAGAUGAGUCCGCGUCCCAUCAGGUUGUUGGUGAGGUAACGGCUCACCAAGCCGAAGACGGGUAGCCGACCUUAGCGGGUGAUCGGCCACACGGGGACUGAGACACGGCCCCGACUCCUACGGGAGGCAGCAGUGGGGAAUCUUGGGCAAUGGGCGAAAGCCUGACCCAGCAAUACCGCGUGAGGGAUGAAGGCCUUCGGGUCGUAAACCUCUGUCAGCAGGAACGAUGGGUCUCCGUGCUAAUACCACGGAGACUUGACGGUACCUGCAAAGGAAGCCCCGGCUAACUCCGUGCCAGCAGCCGCGGUAAUACGGAGGGGGCAAGCGUUGCUCGGAAUUACUGGGCGUAAAGGGUCCGCAGGUGGCCUCGUAAGUUGAAUGUGAAAUCUCAGGCUUAACCCUGAAACUGCAUCCAUACUGCGAGGCUUGAGUCCAAGAGAGGUGGCGGAAUUCCCGGUGUAGCGGUGAAAUGCGUAGAUAUCGGGAGGACACCAGUGCGAGCGGCCACUGGCUUGGAACUGACCCUCAGGACGAAGCGUGGGUAGCGAACCGGAUUAGAUACCCGGUAGC